rnacentral:rRNA from 1 species
UACAGAGGGGGCAAGCGUUGUUCGGAAUUACUGGGCGUAAAGGGCGCGUAGGCGGCCUUCUAAGUCGAACGUGAAAUCCCCGGGCUCAACCCGGGAACUGCGUCCGAUACUGGAAGGCUUGAAUCCGGGAGAGGGAUGCGGAAUUCCAGGUGUAGCGGUGAAAUGCGUAGAGUAUCUGGAGGAACACCGGUGGCGAAGGCGGCAUCCUGGACCGGCAUUGACGCUGAGGCGCGAAGCCAGGG